CCUACGGGUGGCAGCAGUGGGGAAUAUUGCGCAAUGGGGGCAAGCCUGACCCAGCAACGCCGCGUGAGGGAAGAAGGCUUUCGGGUUGUAAACCUCUAUUGUCAGGGACGAAGCAGGCGAUGGUACCUGAAGAAUACGCCACGGCCAACUACGCACCAGCAGCCGCGGUAAGACGUAGGCGGCAAGCGUUAUCCGGAUUUAUUGGGUGUAAAGGCCGUGUAGGCGGGAAUGCAAGUCAGAUGUGAAAACUAUGGGCUCAACCCAUGGACUGCAUUUGAAACUGUACUGCUUGAGUGCAGGGGAGGCAAGCGGAAUUCCGUGUGUAGCGGUGAAAUGCGUAGAUAUAAGGAGGAACACCAGUGGCGAAGGCGGAUUGCUGGACAGUAACUGACGCUGAGGCGCGAAAGCGUGGGGAGCAAACAGGAUUAGAUACCCGAGUAGUC
rnacentral:rRNA from 1 species